UACGGGGGGGGCAAGCGUUGUUCGGAAUUACUGGGCGUAAAGGGCUCGUAGGCGGCCAACUAAGUCAGACGUGAAAUCCCCCGGCUUAACCAGGGAACUGCGUCUGAUACUGGAUGGCUUGAGUUUGGGAGAGGGAUGCGGAAUUCCAGGUGUAGCGGUGAAAUGCGUAGAUAUCUGGAGGAACACCGGUGGCGAAGGCGACAUCCUGGACCAACACUGACGCUGAGUGAGCGAAAGCCAGGGGAGCAAA
rnacentral:rRNA from 1 species